ACUAAUACUUGAUAAAUAAAUUUAUUACGACUUUUGCAUAAGGUUAACCAUCAAUCGAAUUGAUGAUUAAGCCCUUGAACUAUUCUCAAUCGUUGACCACCCACAUGAUUAGUUAGAAACUUCUUUUGAGUGUGACUCCAUAGGUUAAAAUCUAAGUCAGUAGCAUAGAAAUAGAUUUUUGAAUCAAUCGAUGUAACUAUCUAGCAAUG
rnacentral:lncRNA from 1 species